UACGGAGGGUGCGAGCGUUGUCCGGAAUCACUGGGCGUAAAGGGCGCGUAGGCGGCCUGAUAAGUAGGGGGUGAAAUCCUGCGGCUUAACCGCAGGGCUGCCUUCUAAACUGUCGGGCUCGAGCACAGUAGAGGCAGGUGGAAUUCCCGGUGUAGCGGUGGAAUGCGUAGAGAUCGGGAAGAACAUCAGUGGCGAAGGCGACUACCUGGCCUGUUCUUGACGCUGAGGCGCGAAAGCUAGGGGAGCAAACGGG
rnacentral:rRNA from 1 species